AUGUCUCGUAGCAGUACUAAAGCUGAGUAUAAAGCAGUUGCUGAUGCUACUGCUGAGAUCAUAUGGGUACAGUCCUUAUUGCGGAAGUUGAGAAUCUCUCCAGGUCAUCCUCCAGUUCUGUGGUGUGAUAACAUUGGUGCUACAUACCUUUCAUCUAAUCCGGUGUUUCAUGCUAGGACGAAACACAUUGAGGUUGACUAUCAUUUUGUUCGGGAACGUGUUGCACAGAGACUACUUUGUAUCAAGUUCAUCUCCUCAAAAGAUCAACUUGCUGACAUCUUCACGAAGCCUCUUCCACAACCACAGUUUGUAGGCUGUAGGCGCAAUCUUAACUUACUUUGUACUUCAGGCUAUAGUUAA
rnacentral:rRNA from 1 species